rnacentral:misc_RNA from 1 species
AAUCCUCAACCCCAUCUCCCUUGUGGUGAUUAGGUGUUGGACGUGGAAGCUGCUGGCUUGUUUCUCAAGUCGGCUCUUCUGAAAUAGAUUAGCAGGGCCACGCUGUGCGGCUUGGUAUUGAUAGUUGUCUUACCAGGUAGCUGAAAGCAUGUUAGUCCAGCUUCAAGCCGUCUCUUUGGAGACAACAUUGACG